GAGAAAAAAAAGUUUAUUCUUUUUGCUAGCCAGUAUACUGCUGAAUUUGAUGCCAGGCGCACAUUUGCGAAAGAAACUGCGGCAAACUUGGCAACUUUUUAGUAUAUGAUCAAAACAAACGUGUACAAUGUAGCAUUUGUACGUGUUGUUGCCAGUUGGGGAAUACGACUACCGUGUAUUGGAUUCAUGAUUUACAUAUAUCAGUAUUGGUUCAUCAUUUGUCAAC
rnacentral:sRNA from 1 species